AACGCGAAGAACCUUACCUGGGCUCGAAGUGCUACUGACCAGCGGCAGAAACGUCGCCUUCUCGCAAGAGACAGUAGUAGAGGUGCUGCAUGGCUGUCGUCAGCUCGUGCCGUGAGGUGUUGGGUUAAGUCCCGCAACGAGCGCAACCCUUACUCUUAGUUGCCACCCGCAAGGGGGAACUCUAAGAGGACUGCUCCGGAUAACGGAGAGGAAGGUGGGGAUGACGUCAAGUCAGCACGGCCUUUAUGUCCAGGGCUACACACGUGUUACAAUGCAUGGUACAAACUGUUGCGAUCCCGCGAGGGGGAGCUAAUCGGAGAAAACCAUGCUCAGUUCGGAUUGCAGUCUGCAACUCGACUGCAUGAAGCUGGAAUCGCUAGUAAUGGCGUAUCAGAACGACGCCGUGAAUACGUUCCCGGGCCUUGUACACACCGAGACGAC
rnacentral:rRNA from 1 species